UACCAGCACCCCGAGUGGUCGGGACGUUUAUUGGGCCUAAAGCAUCCGUAGCCGGUUCUACAAGUCUUCCGUUAAAUCCACCUGCUUAACAGAUGGGCUGCGGAAGAUACUAUGGAGCUAGGAGGCGGGAGAGGCAAGCGGUACUCGAUGGGUAGGGGUAAAAUCCGUUGAUCCAUUGAAGACCACCAGUGGCGAAGGCGGGUCUCUGGGCAGUAACUGACGCUGAGGAGCGAAAGCGUGGGGAGCGAACAGG
rnacentral:rRNA from 1 species